UAUUGGACGUGACAGAUCCAAGAAGGUAGAUAAAUUCGCAGUCCUGCAAAUCAGUGUGAUUGGAUUCAACAAGUUAGAUUUUGGUCGAGACUUUGAGGUAAAACCCUGAGUGUUAUGGACGGGGGAUUUUGUUGCCGGAUGGGGAAGGUAGCUGCUCUACACUUCUUCUGGUGAUAACUGAAGAGCUUGGAAUAAGCAUUGGCAAUUUGGAUAUAUCAACCUUAAAAAAAAAAAAAAAAAAAAAAAAAAAAAAAAAAAGAAAAGAGAAAUAUUGACAAUGUGGAGCUAGACAUGUGGGAACAUGUAAAUAGGUGACUAUCUCCAAGGAUGACAUUGUCAUUCUUGAAUGCGCUGGUUGGAAGACGUAGAUGAAAGGUGGGAAUAGUUUGUUGAACUCUUUCAUAUAAACUAAUACCAACCUAAGCGACAAUAUUACUAUCUGAAAUGCGUGGCUGAACAUAUGUUGGUCCUCUGCAUAUUGACAUAAAAUUAGUACUAGCUAUGUCGAGAAAUCUGAUUAUGUCAAAGAAAAGUGUUAGGAAGGAUUAACUAUGUUUUUAGCAACUUUGAGUAUAUGUAAACAGAAUUUGCAACUUUUAGUUUGAGAUAUUUAUUUAAGGAGCUUUUUUAUCUUUACUCUUUAAGCUUCCUUUAUAAGUGACUUUUUCUAAUUUUUAUUUAUAUGCUUUUUGCAUUUCUAUUGCAUGCAACUUGCUUUUUCCAACAGAAAUUUACAUUUUUAUCAUUCAAGUGCUGAUUGACAUCUUGAAUGGUCAUAAGGUUCAGCUCAUUGUUUCAAGUUUCAAAUUCAACUUUCUCAUCUUGUGUUUAGCAUGUUAUUUUUCACUUUCUUUUUUUACUUCUAUCUUUGAUCCAGAUAUAUGUUGUGAAAGAUGGAAAAGGCAGAUGAAAGUUAUUUUGUAAGGAGUUGUAAUGCUAUAAGCUCAAGUAAUUAUGCUUCACUAUUCUGACUUGUCAAACUUACCAGAAGAUAUAGAGUUUCCUUUCUCGAAGAAGAUGUACUCAACGAAUCGUCGCUUUAUGC